AGAGUUUGAUCAUGGCUCAGAUUGAACGCUGGCGGCAGGCCUAACACAUGCAAGUCGAGCGGAAACGAGUUAUCUGAACCCUCGGGGGACGAUAACGGCGUCGAGCGGCGGACGGGUGAGUAAUGCCUAGGAAAUUGCCCUGAUGUGGGGGAUAACCAUUGGAAACGAUGGCUAAUACCGCAUAAUGCCUACGGGCCAAAGAGGGGGACCUUCGGGCCUCUCGCGUCAGGAUAUGCCUAGGUGGGAUUAGCUAGUUGGUGAGGUAAUGGCUCACCAAGGCGACGAUCCCUAGCUGGUCUGAGAGGAUGAUCAGCCACACUGGAACUGAGACACGGUCCAGACUCCUACGGGAGGCAGCAGUGGGGAAUAUUGCACAAUGGGCGCAAGCCUGAUGCAGCCAUGCCGCGUGUGUGAAGAAGGCCUUCGGGUUGUAAAGCACUUUCAGUCGUGAGGAAGGUAGUGUAGUUAAUAGCUGCAUUAUUUGACGUUAGCGACAGAAGAAGCACCGGCUAACUCCGUGCCAGCAGCCGCGGUAAU
rnacentral:rRNA from 1 species